AUGGUAAAGAUGGAAUGUAGGUUAGUCAUGCAAGCUAAGUUUGGAUCAAAAGUUAUGGGUUUCAUUUGAUAAGGGCCUUUGUGCAAUAUUUGAGGGGCUGAUGUGGUACUAUCCAGGGACCGCGAUCAUUUUGGAGCAUUCUCUGAGGACCUGGAUGUAAAUUAUAUGUGUGUUGGUACAUUAGGGUAGUUGACUGAAGAUUUAGUCAUUAUCCCCAAAAAUAUCACUCGCACAUCUCUUUGUUCUCUCUGUAGUUGUAUUAGGGUUUGUUGUUAGAGAUCUUGUUACAAUCUCUCAUCUGUAUCACUGAGAGAUUGUUGUAUUUUGGUGUUGAUCAUCUAUUGAUGAUUAUCCGUUGUAAUUGUUGUACUUUGUAUUUGAUUGAGAUCUCACUAUUGUGAGAUCUAGGGUUUAC
rnacentral:lncRNA from 1 species